rnacentral:rRNA from 1 species
AGUGACCCCGGUCUAACCACCGGGAUGUUCAUAACCCUUUGUUGUCCGACUCUGUUGCCUCCGGGGCGACCCUGCCUUCGGGCGGGGGCUCCGGGUGGACACUUCAAACUCUUGCGUAACUUUGCAGUCUGAGUAAACUUAAUUAAUAAAUUAAAACUUUUAACAACGGAUCUCUUGGUUCUGGCAUCGAUGAAGAACGCAGCGAAAUGCGAUAAGUAAUGUGAAUUGCAGAAUUCAGUGAAUCAUCGAAUCUUUGAACGCACAUUGCGCCCCCUGGUAUUCCGGGGGGCAUGCCUGUUCGAGCGUCAUUUCACCACUCAAGCCUCGCUUGGUAUUGGGCAACGCGGUCCGCCGCGUGCCUCAAAUCGACCGGCUGGGUCUUCUGUCCCCUAAGCGUUGUGGAAACUAUUCGCUAAAGGGUGCUCGGGAGGCUACGCCGUAAAACAAACCCAUUUCUAAGGUUGACCUCGGAUCAGGUAGGGAUACCCGCUGAACUUAAGCAUAUCA